GACGAACGCUGGCGGCGUGCUUAACACAUGCAAGUCGUGCGGUAAGGCCCUUUCGGGGGUACCCGAGCGGCGAAAGGGUGGGUAACACGUGAGCAACCUGCCCUUCACUUUGGGAUAACUGCCGGAAACGGUGGCUAAUACCGGAUAUGACUUCCUCACGCAUGUGGGGUGGUGGAAAGCCUUCGGGUGGUGGGGGAUGGGCUCGCGGCCUAUCAGCUUGUUGGUGGGGUGGUGGCCUACCAAGGCUUCGACGCGUAGCCGGCCUGGGAGGGUGACCGGCCCCGCUGGGACUGAGACACGGCCCAGACUCCUACGGGAGGCAGCAGUGGGGAAUAUUGGACAGUGGGCGAAAGCCUGGUCCAGCCACGCCGCGUGGGGGAUGACGGGCUUCGGUUUGUAAUCCUCUUUCGCCUGCGACGAAGCGAGAGUGACGGUAGCAGGUAAAGAAGCACCGGCCAACUACGUG
rnacentral:rRNA from 1 species